GCGGAUGUGGCGGAAUUGGUAGACGCGCACGGUUCAGGUCCGUGUGCCCUUAGGGGCGUGGAGGUUCAAGUCCUCUCAUCCGCA
rnacentral:tRNA from 1 species